UCUAUUUUUAUUUAUUGUAUGAUCCUAAAUAAGAUCCCAAAGAAAUACUUACAAGACAAGAUGAGAAUGUGUGCCGUCGCAACUUGUAAAAAUAUAGGAAAUCAUAAAUUUCCAAAUGAUGAAAACCAGGCGCAACAAUGGAUUAAGGCGACUCGGAUAAAUGUGCGAAAAAUUGAUUGGAAACGACGAAAACAUUCAUGGUUGUGUUCGGAUCAUUUCAUACCAAGUGAUUUUCAUUCACGUGGCAAACAAAUAAGAUUAAAGAAAACUGCGGUUCCUUCAAUAUUUUCUUGGACUACACCAGUUGCGUCUACUUCAAAGACAGAACCUCAAAAUGCCGCAUCUAAUGAAAUUUAUCAGUGUAACUUCAACCCUGCAAAUGCAUCUAAGAAUUACUUAAGAUCAGACACUCGAAUCACAUUUGUUGAGGAGUACCCUAUACUAAAUAUGGAGAUGGAAACCAUAGACAGCGACCCUCUACGAAUAAAUCCAUCACCUGACACAGUUGGAUCGGAAAUAACCAUUGAUGAAGAUCUGAAUGUUUCAAAUCUCAUACCAAAUCAUGUAUCAGUGCAAACUGAACCUGAAACAUUGCCACAAAUUCAACAAGACACAGAUUUGAAAAGAACCCUUUUUAGUGUGGAUAACUUAAAAAAUAAUGAUAAAAUUAUUCAUUUUUAUACUGGUUUGGAGACUGUUGAUAAACUUAAUUAUGUAUUGUCACUAUCUCGAGUGCACUAACUCUACAGUAUCAAGGGAGGAGGAGCACAUAGCUCAACUACAACUCAAUUAAUACAGGAGAAACACAAGGAA